CCUUUAAUUUUCCCAAAAAUCGUCAGUGUGCCUUUAAAUCCAGUGCACCUUAUGUAUGAAUUUUGCCAGUCAGGUUGUAAGGAGCAGUAAAGCCACUCCACUGAAGCGCAGCAUCAUACAAGAGUUCUAGUUUAGUUCUCAAGCAGCUGGAGUAGCAUUAGCAUUAGCGGCUAACUGCACUAAUCACUAGCUCUUUCUUUGUUCAGAGGGAGGCUCGCUGAGGAGACUUGGUGGAGCCCACAACUCAGGGGUCAAGUCCAGGCUUUCCCAACAUCUCUACCCCCACUAUCGUCCAUCCCUGCUCUCUCCUCCUCUCUGGAGAAAUGGACAGAGUGCAGGAGAGGGACGUGAGAAGUAUGUGAGGACAGAGAGAGAGAGAAAGAGAGAAAAACAAGAGAAUGAGGGUUCUGUUUUGUGUCGGCCAGGCAACAGAUCAGAAACACGUAGGAACAUCUCUCGAAGUGUCAAGGCUCCGCCGCUCCUGAUUGGCCCAGGCCAGAGCCGCCGCUGCCCUCCAUUGGCUGGGCCGAGGACGAAUGCGCCUGCUGACAGUCAAUGGGGGCACACGGGGACAGACAUCUUUGCCUACCAUUUUUUCCAAAGCAAAGCUGAAUGACACUGGAAAAAGUUGGAGGUGUUUAAAGUCAUAAACUGAAAAGGAGAACAAAAACCCACAGAGUUCCUCAGAGUUCCACAGAGUUCCACAGCCACCCUGCAGCAGUGUGCAGUAAAGGGCAGAGCAGACCAGAGGAGUUCCACAGGGUAAUAGAGUUUGGAUGAGGAAGGUUAAGGGGCCAAAGGUCAAACUGUGCCCUAUGCAAAGCCUUGUGCCCCCACUUCAUCUACCGCUUCAACAGCAGCGCUGAAAAUACCAAAUGAUGGAUGCCAACCCCUCUCUCCCUCUCUCUGCGUCUCUCGUCAUCAGACCAUCUCUCUGUGUCUCUAUUAACCCAAAUGAUGAUUCAUUCGGGCAGCAGGCCGUCCCCGGGCUCAUUCAUUCAUGUAAUUUAUGUGUGUUACGGGGUAUUUAUGGGUACUGGUGGAGACAGAGCUAAGUUUAGAGCUCCUCCUGCUUUACCUUCCUUUUAUCCUCAAUCAGUGCAGAAAAACAGAAUACGUUCAGCUUUGUUUCUCUGUUACUGCUGUACAUACUUACUGUUCAUUCAGAUUUAUUUUGUUAUUUAUUAUAGUCUAAAAUUCAUAUUUUUAAGAGUUUAUUUGCAAUAACAGAUAAGUACUAUCCAUUUUAUAUCUUUCUCAUUUUUUAAAUUCAUGCAAUAAAUAACUGUUAACGAAGUUCUGUUCUGCAAGUUGCCAUAAAGCACAACUUUAUGCUGGUUUAUCACUGCAAUGCAGUAACUUUAUAGCACACAUGCUGCCAGAAGUUUGCUUUUCUAUUACAGUUAAUUUUGUUUUUAUUAUCUUUGGUUAGCUAAAAUUUUAAAUAGAUGUAUAUGUAAUAAUUAUAGACCCCAAACAUUUCAAUUACAUAACCUUAUUGUAAAAAUAAUUACAGAAUUAUUUUUAUAAAUUACUCUAAAAAAAGCUGUCAUACUCUGUAAUUAUUUUACAGUAAAUUGAGGUAAUCUUUCUCCACAGUGAACUACUGUAAUUUAAAGUGCAUUCAGUUUUGUAACUGUUUUGUAACCAAUUUUGUCAUGGUGUGCAGAGAGAGGAUGCAGAGAUUGGACAAAAAAUACAAGUAUAUAUAUUUAAUGAAAACAGGACUAACUAACAAAAACAUAGAAGGAGCAACCUAACUUACGUAAAAAAUUACAAGAACCAACAAGGGAGCACAGAAACAAAGGGGCUAUAUAUACUGAAGUAGGCAAGAAACACCUGGGGACAGUUAAUGAGGGGGCGGAGUUAUAAAUGUACAACAGGUGGGAGCACUGAAAUCAAGGACAACACAGAGCUACAUGCAAGAAAGCACAUGGCUAGGGAAACAGACAGGCACAGAAAAAGAUAAAAACACAGAGAUAGACCAGGAAAGACACGGAACAGGACGAAAACAUGAUAGGAACCUUUUUAUAGCGCAGUAUUAGAAAAAUAUAUUGGUUACAAUAUAAAUAUCCAGUAUAAAUUAUUGAGAAUUUCAAUUUCAAGAAGGCAAAUUAUUAUGUGUCUAGUUUAAAAUAUCUGCAUUAAUGUAUUAAAUGUAUAUAUUUUUUUUAAACGCUAGUGUAUGUGGUCAGGUGAUGUUAAUCAUUAAAAAGUAUUG